rnacentral:rRNA from 1 species
CAGCAGUGGGGAAUAUUGGGCAAUGGAGGAAACUCUGACCCAGCGACGCCGCGUGCGGGAUGAAGGCCUUCGGGUUGUAAACCGCUUUCAGCAGGGAAGAAGCGAAAGUGACGGUACCUGCAGAAGAAGCACCGGCUAACUAUGUGCCAGCAGCCGCGGUAAUACAUAGGGUGCAAGCGUUGUCCGGAAUUAUUGGGCGUAAAGAGCUCGUAGGUGGUUCGUCACGUCGGAUGUGAAACUCUGGGGCUUAACCCCAGACCUGCAUUCGAUACGGGCGAGCUUGAGUAUGGUAGGGGAGUCUGGAAUUCCUGGUGUAGCGGUGGAAUGCGCAGAUAUCAGGAGGAACACCAAUGGCGAAGGCAGGACUCUGGGCCAUUACUGACACUGAGGAGCGAAAGCGUGGGGAGCGAACAGGAUUAGAUACCCUAGUAGUCCGGUC